rnacentral:rRNA from 1 species
UGAGCAAUGCGGGGCGACGACUGGGGGAAAACGGAGGAGGUAAUAGUUAUCCUGAUGUACCGGGCGUAAAGGGCACGCAGUCGGUUAGGUAAGUCGGACGUGAAAGGUCCUAGCUCAACUGGGAGGGGUCGUUCGAAACUGCAUAGCUUGAGGUUGGAAGGGGAGAGCGGAACUCCCGGUGUAGUGGUGGAAUGCGUAGAUAUCGGGAAGAACACCAGUGGCGAAGGCGGCUCUCUGGUCCAAAUCUGACGCUCAUGUGCGAAAGCGUGGGUAGCAAACAGGAUUAGAUACCCCUGUAGUC